UGGGCCGCAAGUUCACCCUGGUAACCGACCACGCGCCCCUACAGUGGAUGGCCCGCGCCAAGGACACCAACGCCAGGGUGACUCGCUGGUUCCUAGCGCUCCAGGACUUCCACUUCGAAGUCCGCCAUCGAGCUGGGGCCGCCAACGCGAACGCCGAUGGCCUCUCCCGGAUCUGGACAGCUUAUGCAGAAAGCAGCGAGUGACCGACAGCCCACACCCUUUGGAGCACGUCAGGACACCCACUUUCCCCUUGAUUGGCACAGAGGAGCACGGAGAGCACACGGGGAGCACCAACCAGCGGAAAGCAGAUCAGGACACUUCACCAGGCACCCUUCACUUUUCAAUAAACCCACCCUCCGGGGCUUUUGAUUUCA